rnacentral:rRNA from 1 species
CAGGAUUCCCCUAGUAACGGCGAGUGAAGCGGGAAAAGCUCAAAUUUGAAAUCUGGCGGUCUACGGCCGUCCGAGUUGUAGUCUAGAGAGGUGUCUUCUGCGUCGGACCAUGCACAAGUCCCUUGGAACAGGGCGUCAUAGAGGGUGAGAAUCCCGUCCGUGGCAUGGACUCCCGGUGCUUUGUGAUGCACCUUCGAAGAGUCGAGUUGUUUGGGAAUGCAGCUCAAAAUGGGUGGUAAAUUCCAUCUAAAGCUAAAUACAGGCGAGAGACCGAUAGCGAACAAGUACCGUGAGGGAAAGAUGAAAAGCACUUUGGAAAGAGAGUUAAACAGUACGUGAAAUUGUUGAAAGGGAAACGCUUGGAGUCAGUCGCGUUUGCCGGGACUCAGCCUUGCUUCUGCUUGGUGCACUUCCUGGUACACGGGCCAGCAUCGAUUUUGAUCGCCGGAAAAAGGCUUGGGGAAGGUGGCACCUUCGGGUGUGUUAUAGCCCCUUGUUGUAUACGGUGGUUGGGAUUGAGGACCGCAGCACGCCUUUUGGUCGGGGUUCGCCCACGCCACGUGCUUAGGAUGCUGGCGUAAUGGCUUUAAACGACCCGUCUUGAAACACGGACCAAGGAGUCUAACAUGCCUGCGAGUGUUUGGGUGUAAAACCCAGGCGCGUAAUGAAAGUGAAAGGUUGGGACUCUUCGCUGAGGCACCGACGCCCGAUCCUGACGUUCUCUGACGGAUUUGAGGUAGAGCAUGUAUGUUGGGACCCGAAAGAUGGUGAACUAUGCCUGAAUAGGGCGAAGCCA